UAUAUAUUAAUGUUAUAAUGCAUAAAAAUUUUUGAAAUUUUUAGAAAUAGUGUAAAUCUAUUAUAUAUAU
rnacentral:tRNA from 1 species